GACGUGCUUCUCCGUUGCUUUUGCUUUUAUUUGUUUCCAUGUAAUCGUUUUAUGUUAAUUCAUGGCCGAUCGAAACGUUACUCUGUUUGAUUUGUUAGGCGAGAAAGGAAGGGAUUGAUUCGUCGCGUUGCGUGACAGAGAGAGGACGAGAGUGUUGAAUGAAUGGAUUUUUUUUUCUUUUUCUGAUUUUCUCCGUCGUUACUGAUCAAAUCAUCAAACCCUAAUUUGUUGAUUUUUGGUAAACUUUCUUUAUCUGGUACCGUUUGGUUUACCAGAUCUGAGCGACUUAUGCCUGGAAAAACUUUUGUAGGUUUCUCGAUCUCUCCCUUUCUUUUUCUCACGAAAAUGCUUUUCGUUUUCCUUUUGCACGACUGCACGUACGAAGACCAUCGUUCUCUCGCUUUCUUCUCUCGUUUGAUUUGUCGUAGCUUUCAAUCUCUUAAAUGUGCGUCUCCGUUGCUUUUAUUGUUUCGAUGUAAUCGUUUCAUGUUCAUGGCCGAAACUUUACUGUUCGAUUUGUUUGGCGAGAGAGAGCAGAGAGGACACUUGUAAACGUCGCACCGACACCUGUGCGCAUUGCAUGAGAGAGAGAGAACGAGAGAGUGUCAAAUGAAUGGAAGGGAUUGAUUCGGCGUUUUCAAGUUUUUCUUUUUUCUGUGGUUACUAAUCCAACCCUAAUUUGUUGAUUUUUGGUAACUUUCCUUAUUUGGCAUCGUUUAGCUUUUCCAGAUCUGACCGACUUAUGCCUGCAAUUUUUAUUUUUUAUUUUUAUGUUUCUCGAUCUCUCCCCUUUUUUCUUACGAAAAUGCUUUUGGUUUUCCUUUCCAUUUAUGGAUCGCCUUUAAAUAAAUCUUCUGCAGAUAUGUUUGUUCGUUAUUCUUCUCCGUUGUUGUGUUGUUCCGGGACAUAGAAAUUGACAGAAGAGAAGAGAGUGAGCACACACAAGGUGCAACAAUUCUUACAUGGAAGAUCAAUGGAGCACUGAGGAAUUGUAAAUGAAUUGAGAAAUACUUGCUGUUUAUUACAUCCAAGUUAGUUUAAGAGAGAAAAAAUGAUUGCUAGACCUCUCCACAAAAGAAGUUAAUAUCGUUGGAAAAUAGAGCCAGAGGUUGCCGUAAAAUAGGUACCAGAGUCUCUGUGUGGGGAUCACAUUCAGGCA